AGUAACACGUUUUUUUUUGGAGAAAAAAUGGGUUUUAUUCACAAAUUCCAUAUUUUCAUAGAAAAUAGACUAUUGUAUUUAUAAUUUUAUUAUUUUAUUUGCCCAUGUUUUCCAAUAUUUAUAUAAAAUAAAUUUUCAUAUUAUGAUUUGCAAUCUGACCUUAAAAUUUCUGUAACACGUAAAAUUUUAGAGAAAAAUAGAAUUUUAAAUACAAAAUUUCAUAUUUUCAUAGAAAAUAAACUACUGUCUUUAUAUUUUUUUUUUUUUCAUAAUAAAUAAACUACAGUCUUACAGUCUUACAGUUUUAUUUUUUUUCUAUCUGCUCAUCUCAACCAAUAUUUGUAUUUAGAAGAUUUUCAAAUACUGAUUCGGAAUCUGACCUAAGAAUUUCUGUAACACGUACAAUUUUUGAGAAUAAUAGGGAUUUAUUCACAAAUUUCAUAUUUUCAUAUAAAAUAAAAUAUUGUUUUUAUAAAUUUCAAUUUUCCACCUGCUCAUCAUAACCAAUUUUUUUAUUGAAAAGAUUUUGAUCUACUGAUUCAGAAUGUGGCUUAAGAAUUUCCGUAACAGGUAAAAUUUUAGUAGGGAUUAUUCAAAAAAUUUCAUAUUUUCAUAUGUCUUUAUAAGUUUAAUAUUUUUAUCUGCUCAUCUUAACCAAUAUUUGUAUUUAAUAGAUUUUUAUAUUCUGAUUCAGAAUCUGACCUAAAAAUUUCUGUAACACGUAAAAUUUUAGAGAAAAAUGAAAUUAUACAAAAAAAAUCAUAUUCUCAUAGAAAAUAAACUGUUGUCUUCAUAAUUUUCAUAUUUUUAUCUGCGCAUCUUAACCAAUAUUUGUACUUAAUAGAUUUUCAUAUACUGACCUAAGAAUUUCUGUAACAUGUACAGAUUUUAAGAAAAACACAAAAUUUCAUAUUUUUAGAGAAAAAAAUACUGUCUUUAAAAUUUUAUAUCCUCAUCUUAAUCAAUUUUUAAUAGAUUUUGAUCCAAUGAUUUGGAAACUGACCUAAGAAUUUCUGUGACCCGUGAUUUUUUUUUGAGAAAAAAUAGAACCCCAUUGUAGCGCAGGGUAAUUAGGUUGUUACCCAGAAAUGUAAGUAGAUCAUUUUUUUUGUAUAUGCUAUUGAAUUAAUCGAAAUAUAUUUGCAACUUUGAAGCUGCCCAGUUUGGCAACUACCCAGACUGUGUUUUCCUUUUACUUACGCCAACAAUUAUUUUUCUUAAAAAUUGUACGUGUUACAAAAAUUCUUGGGUCAGAUUUCGAAUCAGUAUAUGUACAUCCAUUAAACAUAAAUAUUUGUUAAGAUGAGCAGAUAAAAAAAUAAAAUUAUAAAGACAAUAGUUUUUCCAUGAAAAUAUGAAAUUUUGUGAAUAAAAUAUUUUUCUCAAAAGUUUUACGUGUUACAGAAAUUCAUAGGAGAGAAUACGAAUAAGUGAAAUAGAAUCUUUUAAAAAUAAAAUAUAAAUUAAGAUGGGUAGAUAAAAACUUUAAAAUUAUAAAGACAAUAUUUUAUUUUCUUUGAAAAUAUGAAUUUUGUGAAUAAAACCCCAUUUUUCUCAAAAACUGCACGUGUUACAGAGAUUUUUAGGUUAGUUACCAAAGCGGUGGAUGAAAAUCUAAUAAAGAUUAAUGUUGGCUAAAAUGAGGAGAUAAAAAAAUUAAAAUUGAAAAGACAAUAGUAUAUUUUAUUUAAAAAUAUGAAAUUUUGUAAAUAAAGCCCCAUUUUUUCUCAAAAAAAUUACGUUUUACAAAAAUUCUUAGGUCAGAUUCUGAAUCAGUGAAUCAAAAUCUAUUGAAUUUAAAUACUGGUUAUGAUAAGCAGAUAAAAAAAUUAUAAAUAUUAAGACAAUAUUUUGUUUUCUAUAAAAAUAUGAAAUUUUGUGAAUAAAACCCUAUUUUUCUCAAAAACUGUUCGUGUUACAGCAUUUCCGAAGUCAGAUUCGGAAUCAGCGGGCCAAAAUUCUUCGGAAAUGGAUCAAAUGGUCCAAGUGCGUGAUCUACUGUCGACCAGUGUUACCAGAAAAGUUGGAUGAAAUCAAUUUAGGAAAUGCUAAGAGAAUACUUUAAUAAAAUGUGAACAAAUCUUUAGAGAAAUCGAAAGACCAUUUAUUGGAUGAACUACUACAAAAAUUUCAAGAAAAAAAUCUAAAGAAAGUUGGGGAGAAAUUUCUAAAAACCUUUUUGAAGGAUCUUUGAAGGAAUUCUGAAAGAAUCUUUUGAUAAUUAUGAUUUGGAAAAAAAUAUUUAAGAAGUUCUUAGAAUAAUUCCCGCUGGAAUUGUUGAAGCGAUUUCUGAAAAAUUUUGAAAUCUCAACCUUGCUCUAAUCACUUAAAAUAUAGAAGCAUAUAUAGGCAUUCUGAAAGAAUUCCUGAAGAAAGUGGUAAAACAGUCUUUGGAGGAAUCCUUGAAGAAACUUUUGAAGUAAUUGUUUGAUUUGAUAAGAUAGGGUAUCUGUUCCUUUACUAUUUAAGCAUAUACGCUCCAACUUUCAUCCUACUCAAAUUAAAGGAAUGAAGCGCUUUUUGUGUUGUUUCCUGUUGAAAUUCUUGACUGAGAUGCUUGAUGGAAACAUAGAAUGAUUUUUCAGAAGGUUUCUCCAAAGAACUUUGAAGGAGUCGAAUAAAAAAUCGCAAAAGAUAUUUUUAGAAUAGUUCCCAGAGGAAUGCUAGCGAAAAAUCCUUGGGAAAUGUCCUAGAGUUGAUGGAUGUUGAAGAAUUAGUUGGAGGAAUUCCAGAAGGAUUUUUCGAAAGAAUUCCUACAAUCUCUGAAAGAGUUAUAUGAGUUUAUAAUUGAGAAAGCCUUGAAGAAUCUGUGGAGAAACGCUUAACCUUUGUGGAAAAACAUCAAAGAAUUUGAGAGGAUCUCCUGAAAGAAACCAUUGAGGGACGUUCGCAGAGAUUUUAAAGGGACUUAUCUUCCUCUGGCGGAAUUCCGAUGUCAUUUAUUGGAAGAAUAUGUGGUUCCAAAAAAAAUCAUUGAUGAAUUUUUUGCAGCAUUUUUUCUGGAAUUUCUUAAGAACUCUAUGGAUGAUCUUCUAGAAAUCCUCAGAGAUAUUAAUGAUAGAAUCCCUGGUGGACUUCCUGAACAAAUGUUUCGAGAAAUACUCGAUGAAGCCUUUGCAUGAAUCUUUUGAAGCACUCUGAAUUACUUUUGAGAACAUCUUCGGACGCAACACUGUAAGAAUUUCUGAAGGAGUUCUUAUAGAAAUACUGAAUGACAUUCUUGCAUUAACCACUUGAAAGAUUCUUGAAGAUAAAUUGUUCUCUACGAAAGUUUUUUUUUUAGAAAACGGUAAUGCAAUCUUUGAAGAUAUUCCUAAAUAAUUUGUUAAAAAAAAUUUCGACAUAAUUCUUAGAAAAAAAUCUCACACUCAUUGAUGGAUUUCAUUGGUUUUUUCAUCGUUUCGAACAAAAUAUAACAGUGCGAUCAUUCGAGAGAAUUAUCAUUGUAAAAUAUGUACAGUGUAUCAAUCAAUUGUCCGUACAGCAAUUUUUUGGUCAAAAUAAUUUUUCAUUCAAAUGAUCAUAACUUUUUUAUACAUCAAUCAAAUACGCUGAAAUUUUGAUCAAUCAUGCACCAUAUAUCAAAGCUCCAUUGGUAAAAUUUUGAGCGAGAUCGAAUAAGUUUUCUGAAAGUUAUAGAACUUUCAGUAAAACUUAUAAGAUUUUUGAACACAUUUUUAAAACAUUAUAUCUCAAUAUGUACUAGAUGAAACUUUUUCAAUUUUUUUUUGUGAUACAGCUGAUACUUAAGGCUUUCAUAUGCAGCUUCGUUUGAGGUUUUAUAUUCACUACAAAAAAUAUGAAAAAUCUCUAUAUGUUCAGAGUGUCAUUUGGAAAUUUAUCAUAUUUUGAUCAAUAAAAGUGCCAAGUGUUUUCAACGUUUUGAAACUCUCUUAAUGUAAUAUUUUUAUACAGGACCUACUAAACUACAUAUGAAGAGUAGGUCCCAUGUAUUUUUUGUUCAGUCAAUGCAUUUUUAUUGGUGGAAAACGUUUGGCGAUUAUAUGUGCAAAAUAUGGUGAAAUUUAAAAAAUCAUCAACUACAUAAGCACAUUUUUCAUAUUUUUUGUAGUGAAUAUAAAACCUCAAAAGUAACUGCAUAUGGAAGCCUUAGGUAUCAGCUGUAACACAAAAAAAAAUGAAAAAGUUUCAUCGAGUACAUACUGAGAUAUAAUGUUUUGAAAAUGUGUUGACAAAUCUUAUAAGUUUUACUAAAAGUUCUAUAACUUUCAGAAAACUUAUUCGAUCUCGCUCAAAGUUUUACCAAUGGAGCUUUAGUAUAUGAUUCAUGAUUGGUCAAAAUUCCAGCGCAUUUGAUUGGUGUAUAAAAAAGUUAUGAACAUUUGAAUGAAAAAUUAUUUUGAUCAAAAAAUUGCUGUACGGACAAUUUUUUGAUACACUGUACAUCUGUAAUUUUCAUGGGGGUCCACAAAUUUGGUUCCGCACCGGGCCCCCGAAUUCCUAGCAACGCUACUAUAGCGGGGCCGUUUCCGAUCAGAAUUUGAUGAUUCUGAUUGAAAAUGGCUCGCUCUAGUGUCAAAAUUCACGGACGGAGUGAAUUCUGUACAUCGAUGCACGAUGACGUCACGAAUGAAUGUUAGGUUCACUUACGUUCUCCCUGUCUUCUUCUCUCCCACACGAAUCUUGACAGUUUCCGGUGGUUUGUUUUGAUUCCCGUUCGUUGCCGUUUUCUUCUCUCUCGGGGAGAAAAGCGAGGUUAAAUUCCUAUGCGAAACUCUAUUGAAUUUUGCAAGGUGACGUCACGAAUGAACGUUCGGUUCAUUCUCGUUCGUCCCUUCCUUUUCCUUCUCACGUGAAUUUUGACAUUUUCCGGUGGUUUGUUUUGAUUCCCAUUCGUUGCCGUUCUUUUCUCUCUUGGAGAGAAAUUUGAGGUUAAGUUUCGAUGCAAAAUUCUAUAGACGAGUGUACAGAUGAACUGAAUUCAUCGUGGUCCAAGAAUUUUGACACUACAGUGGGGCCACUCCCAAUCAGAAUUGUUCAACUCUGAUUGGAAAUCGUUCACUUCUGAUUGGAAGCGGCCCCGCUCUAGUGUCAAAAUUCUCGGACCGGGAUGAAUUCAGUUCAUCGGUGCACUCGUCUAUGCUUAAAGGUCUGAGUUUGGCCAACGAUGAACUAGCUGGCGGUAGUGGACAAACGUCAAACUCGAACAAAAAUGAUGCCAGCGCCACAGAUGGGUAGUUGACCAGCUAUAAAAUUUUCAAAUUGACCGUUAAAUCGGUGAAUGAUAGAAAUUAUAAGAGUGUUACGUCUGUUUUUCUGUUCCGAAAUCAUUAGUAAUGGUUCAUUACUUGACCAUUUUUAUCAUAUUCUUGUGCACCCCGUUUUCACAAAGUGGUAACCAGGAUUAAACAGAUUGUGCAAUCAACUGUGCAAAUAUUCUUGCACAGUAGACCUUUGGAUUUCAUUGUCGAUAACAGUGUAGCAAUAUCCGUCUUCGGUGCAAUGCCGAUAACGGACGGAGGCAUUCCCCUAUAAAAUAGCUGAGUUAUACUCAAGGUUUCACCAGAAGUUGAUCGUUUGCUCUACCAUCAGCAUGUUGUUCCUCGUAGUUUUUAGUGGUCUCCUCCUCGUUCAAGGCGCUUGGUCCCAAGUGUCUCCGGAGGGCUGCCUCCUCGCCAUGUGUACUACUUACCAGGAGAUCAAUACCCUUCACUGUCACCUCGACCCGGCUCGCUUUUGCCGGUGUAGUUUAGACGAAAACGGUGGUUGGGUCCUCCAGGUGAUGUCUUGCCCGGGACCGGAAACCUUGUUCAGCCGAAGCCAGCAGGUCUGCAUCCACUCGUCAUUGUGGAAUGAGUACGAGUGUAUGAUACUGAAUGAUACUCGAUCUUGACCAUAGCCAGUCCUAGUUUUGGAUGGCAGACUUGCGCCCGAGAACUGUGGGCCGAUACUUGUCUAAUAAAGUAUUGUUUAUAAUGGAUUAAGUUUAGUAUCAGCAUUUCAAUAAAUAUCAAAUGGUUAUACGGUCUCUAAUAAAUAUACAUAUACUACCCGCCAUAAA